rnacentral:rRNA from 1 species
GAUGAACGCUGGCGGCAUGCCUAAGACAUGCAAGUCGAACGAGAUGGCCCAGUGAAGGUUGAGUGCUUGCACAAGACUGAAUCUGGAUUCCCAUCUAGUGGCAGACGGGUGAGUAACACGUGGGUGACCUACCUUUUCGUUGGGGAUAACAGUUGGAAACGAUUGCUAAUACCGAAUAAAAUGUAAGAGUCAAUUUUACAUUGAAAGGAGCCUUUAAAGCUUCGCGAUUAGAUGGGCCUGCGGCGUAUUAACUAGUUGGUGAGGUAAUGGCUUACCAAGGUGACGAUGCGUAGCCGAACUGAGAGGUUGAUCGGCCACAUUGGGACUGAGACACGGCCCAAACUCCUACGGGAGACAGCAGUUAGGAAUAUUCGUCAAUGGAGGAAACUCUGAACGAGCAAUGCCGCGUGAGUGAUGAAGGUCUUAUAGAUUGUAAAACUCUGUUGUAUGGAAAAAACGACUAGGUUAGGAAAUGAACUUAGUGUGAUGGUACCAUACCAGAAAGCCCCGGCUAACUACGUG